AAAAGUCGUGACUAAUAAUCAUGAUUCAUGACGGUAUCAACAGAAGAAGCACCGGCUAACUACGUGCCAGCAGCCGCGGUAAUACGUAGGGUGCAAGCGUUAAUCGGAAUUACUGGGCGUAAAGGGUGCGCAGGCGGUUCUGUAAGUCAGAUGUGAAAUCCCCGGGCUUAACCUGGGAACUGCGUUUGAAACUGCAGAGCUAGAGUGCAGCAGAGGGAGGUGGAAUUCCAUGUGUAGCAGUGAAAUGCGUAGAGAUAUGGAAGAACAUCGAUGGCGAAGGCAACCUCCUGGGCUAGCACUGACGCUCAUGCACGAAAGCGUGGGGAGCAAACAGGAUUAGAUACCCCUGGUAGUCCACGCCCUAAACUAUGUCAACUAGUUGUCGGGUCUUAUUAGACUUGGUAACGUAGCUAACGCGUGAAGUUGACCGCCUGGGGAGUACGGUCGCAAGAUUAAAACUCAAAGGAAUUGACGGGGGUGUGUACAAGACCCGGGAACGUAUUCACCGCAGCAUG
rnacentral:rRNA from 1 species